rfam:Jatropha curcas cultivar GZQX0401 scaffold110_126, whole genome shotgun sequence.
AAUCCAUGAUGUGGACAUUAGUGUUGAAGGUCUUUGAAUCUCUCCUAGGCUUUGUACAACGUCUCAUCUUCCUUUAUCCGAAAAUUGGAUAUUUCUUUCCUUGGCCU